rnacentral:rRNA from 1 species
CGGACGGGUGAGUAAUGUCUGGGAAACUGCCCAUGGAGGGGGAGUAACUACUGGAAACGGUAGCUAAUACCGCAUAACGUCGCAAGACCAAAGAGGGGGACCUUCGGGCCUCUUGCCAUCGGAUGUGCCCAGAUGGGAUUAGCUAGUAGGUGGGGUAACGGCUCACCUAGGCGACGAUCCCUAGCUGGUCUGAGAGGAUGACCAGCCACACUGGAACUGAGACACGGUCCAG